rnacentral:rRNA from 1 species
GUGCCUAAUACAUGCAAGUCGAACGGUCUUUCUAUGGAAGCUUGCUUCACUGAGAAGAUAGUGGCGAACGGGUGAGUAACACGUGGGUAACCUGCCCAUAAGAGGGGGAUAACAUCCGGAAACGGGUGCUAAUACCGCAUAGUUUUUCUUGAUCGCAUGAUUGAGAAAGGAAAGACGGCCUUUGUGCUGUCGCUUAUGGAUGGACCCGCGGCGUAUUAGUUAGUUGGUGAGGUAACGGCUCACCAAGACGAUGAUACGUAGCCGACCUGAGAGGGUGAUCGGCCACAUUGGGACUGAGACACGGCCCAAACUCCUACGGGAGGCAGCAGUAGGGAAUCUUCCGCAAUGGACGAAAGUCUGACGGAGCAACGCCGCGUGAGUGAAGAAAAGGUUUUCGGAUCGUAAAACUCUGUUGUCAGAGAAGAACAAGUUGGAGAGUAACUGCUCCAGCCUUGACGGUAUCUGACCAGAAAGCCACGGCUAACUACGUGCCAGCCGCCGC